GUAAGAUGACAAAAAAAUCUAAACAAAAGUGAGGAUGAAAUACAAAUAGAUGCACUAAACGGCAGUGGUUGUAGUUGACUUGUGGAGUUUCAAACCAAAGAUGUUAUUGACUAGUUUGGGAGUGGCUUGGUGAAGAUCUACAGGCAUGGGAGUCAUGAAGUUGACUAUCUUUUCAUGGAUAGUGUAUCUUAUCUUCCGACUCUUCGAGGCUCG
rnacentral:misc_RNA from 1 species